rnacentral:misc_RNA from 1 species
CGAUCCGCGUCGCGCCUCUUGACGCGGGACGGUUCCCCCAGAGGCCGGUUCUUGUGCUGCCUACCCCUUCAAGGGAAGCAGGCCGCUUGGUGUAAGCCUCCAUCCGGCGCCUUCCAAUGGGCGCAGGAGGACAACGGAGCACCCCCCGCGUUCCANCGAGCCUCAGUCGGUCGCGUGGCCCGCGGGGACGUGCGAUGCUCUCGGACCCAGCACACGCCGUGGGCGAGGACUCACGUCCCAGUCCCAAGUGAAGCUCCGAUAUAACGAACGACGGCCGCUCCCGCCCCCCGACCGCCCCGGCGGCGCGGGUGCGAGGCGCGGCGUCGCCGAGGAAUGCUACCUGGUUGAUCCUGCCAGUAGUCAUAUC